rnacentral:rRNA from 1 species
CCCUUACUCUACGGGAGGCAGCAGUGGGGAAUAUUGCACAAUGGGCGCAAGCCUGAUGCAGCAACGCCGCGUGAGGGACGACGGCCUUCGGGUUGUAAACCUCUUUUAGCAGGGAAGAAGCGAAAGUGACGGUACCUGCAGAAAAAGCGCCGGCUAACUACGUGCCAGCAGCCGCGGUAAUACGUAGGGCGCAAGCGUUAUCCGGAAUUAUUGGGCGUAAAGAGCUCGUAGGCGGUUUGUCGCGUCUGCUGUGAAAUCCGGAGGCUCAACCUCCGGCCUGCAGUGGGUACGGGCAGACUAGAGUGCGGUAGGGGAGAUUGGAAUUCCUGGUGUAGCGGUGGAAUGCGCAGAUAUCAGGAGGAACACCGAUGGCGAAGGCAGAUCUCUGGGCCGUAACUGACGCUGAGGAGCGAAAGGGUGGGGAGCAAACAGGCUUAGAUACCCUGGUAGUCCACCCCGUAAACGUUGGGAACUAGUUGUGGGGUCCAUUCCACGGAUUCCGUGACGCAGCUAACGCAUUAAGUUCCCCGCCUGGGGAGUACGGCCGCAAGGCUAAAACUCAAAGGAAUUGACGGGGACCCGCACAAGCGGCGGAGCAUGCGGAUUAAUUCGAUGCAACGCGAAGAACCUUACCAAGGCUUGACAUAUACGAGAACGGGCCAGAAAUGGGUCAAUC